rnacentral:rRNA from 1 species
AUGGAGGCGAGGCGGAUCUCGGCGACCCCCCGGCCGUGCAACGGCCGGCGCGUGGUGGCGAGGAAGAGGCCGAGGCAGGAGGCGGUCAUCAGCAGCGUCAGGAAGCUGCAGCGCCGGGAGAUCAGCUCCCGCCGGGAACGCUCCUUCGCCAUGAACUCCGCGCAGGAGCGCUUCCGCAACAUACAGCUGCAGGAGGAGUUUGACACUCAUGAUCCUAAGGAGAACAAUGCGCUACUACCUUACAUUAGGAAGAGGUCAAAAAUUAUUGAGAUAGUUGCAGCACGUGAUAUAGUUUUUGCUUUAUCACAAUCAGGAGUAUGUGCUGCUUUUAGUAGAGUGACGAAUAAGAGAAUAUGCUUUCUAAAUGGGAGUCCAGAUGAAGUUGUUCGUAGUUUAUUCUACAACAAGAACAAUGAUUCCCUCAUUACUGUGUCAGUAUAUGGUUCUGAAAAUUUUAGUGCCUUGCGAUGCAAGACAACUCGAAUAGAGUAUAUACGUCGUGGAACACCAGAUGCUGGUUUCCCUCUUUUUGAGACAGAGUCCUUGAAAUGGCCUGGAUUUGUUGAGUUUGAUGAUGUCAAUGGAAAGGUUUUAACUUAUUCCGCUCAAGACAGCACUUACAAGGUUUUCGACUUGAAAAACUACACCCUACUGUAUUCCAUAUCUGACAAGAAUGUUCAAGAAAUAAAGAUCAGUCCUGGUAUAAUGCUUUUGAUUUAUACAAGAACAAGCAGCUCCAUUCCUCUGAAGAUUCUUAAUAUUGAGGAUGGCACAGUUUUGAAAUUCUUCAACCACCUCCUCCAUCGAAAUAAGAAGGUGGAUUUCAUUGAACAGUUUAAUGAAAAGCUCUUGGUCAAGCAGGAUGGAGAGAAUCUUCAAAUACUUGAUGUACGGAACUUCCAGUUGACUGAAGUGAGCAGUACUGAGUUCAUGACUCCAUCUGCCUUCAUCUUUCUGUAUGAACUCCAGUUGUUUUUGACAUUCCGGAAUCGAUCUGUAGCAGUUUGGAAUUUCCGAGGUGAACUAGUAACAUCAUUUGAGGAUCACCUGCUGUGGCACCCUGACUGCAAUACCAAUAACAUAUACAUAACCAGUGAUCAAGAUCUUAUUAUUUCUUACUGCAAGGCUGAUUCCACUGAUUCAUCUUCAGAGGAAAAUGCUGGCUCUAUAAACAUCAGCAACAUACUGACAGGGAAAUGCUUGGCUAAAAUAAAGGCUGGCAAUUUCAACGAGCAAAAGAAGACGUGGAAGUUCCAGAAUACAAUCACAGAGGCUCUUGAGGACAUCACAGCUCUGUACUACGACGAAGAGCGUGAUGAGAUCUACACCGGCAACCGUCAUGGCCUUGUUCAUGUGUGGGCGAACUGA